rnacentral:lncRNA from 1 species
CUUUAAUGGUCUGUACUGGUCUGUACUGGUCCUUUAAUGGUCUGUUCUGGUCUUUCUUUUCCAUGAUUUACUACUUAAUGACUUCGUCCACAAAAUAGUGCACUAUGUAGGGAAUAGGGUGCCAUUUGAGACUCGGCCAAUGUCUUCAGGACGUUGUCUUCAGGACGUUGUCUUCAGGACGUUGUCUUCAGGACGUUGUCUUCUUCAGGACGUUGUCUUCAGGACGUUGUCUUCAGGACGACGUUGUCUUCAGGACGUUGUCUUCUUCAGGACGUUGUCUUCAGGACGACGUUGUCUUCAGGACGUUGUCUUCUUCAGGACGUUGUCUUCUUCAGGACGAUGUCUUCAGGACGUUGUCUUCAGGACGUUGUCUUCAGGACGUUGUCUUCUUCAGGACGAUGUCUUCAGGACGAUGUCUUCAGGACGAUGUCUUCUUCAGGACGUUGUCUUCUUCAGGACGUUGUCUUCUUCAGGACGUUGUCUUCUUCAGGACGUUGUCUUCUUCAGGACGUUGUCUUCAGGAUGUUGUCUUCUUCAGGACGAUGUCUUCAGGACGUUGUCUUCAG